rnacentral:rRNA from 1 species
CCUACGGGAGACAGCAGUGAGGAAUAUUGGUCAAUGGGCUUACGCCUGAACCAGCCAAGUCGCGUGAGGGAAGACUGCCCUAUGGGUUGUAAACCUCUUUUGUCAGGGAGCAACGCCGGCUACGUGUAGCCGGACUGAGAGUACCUGAAGAAAAAGCAUCGGCUAACUCCGUGCCAGCAGCCGCGGUAAUACGGAGGAUGCGAGCGUUAUCCGGAGUUAUUGGGUUUAAAGGGUGCGUAGGCGGAAUGCCAAGUCAGCGGUAAAAUCGCGGGGCUCAACCUCGCUCCGCCGUUGAAACUGGCGUUCUUGAGUGGGCGAGAAGUAUGCGGAAUGCGUAGUGUAGGGGUGAAAUGCAUAGAUAUCACGCAGAACUCCGAUUGCGAAGGCAGCAUACCGGCGCCCAACUGACGCUGAAGCACGAAAGCGUGGGUAUCGAACAGGAUUAGAUACCCUUGUAGUC